GGAAUUGUGAAAAACUGAGUUUAAAUGUAUUUGGAUAAGGUGUGUGUAAACUUCCAACUUCACCAGUACAUUACUUUAGAUGGCUGUUUUGAGCAAAACGUAAAUAUAAUAUAACCUAUUCUAGAAGCCUAUUGUGUGUGUAUGAUCUUUAUUCAUCGUUCACUUGUUUUUCAACAAUGUCAGGUACAGGCAGGGAUGACUGGGGCCUCAGCAAGUAAACCACAGGGGGUAUAAGAAAUCAUUUGAACUUCACACAUAUAAAUUCCCACUGUGCCCAUGAUAAAGUUAACAAAAUGACUUUAGUUGGCUGCUUUGCGCAAAAGUUGUAUGUAAUAUAAACUAUCCUGGGAGCCUAGUGUGUAUGUAUAAACUAUGUGGAAUAUUUUUGGGAACAUUGGCUUCCCUGAAAACAGAUAUGGUUCCUCUUGUCAGUACGAGUCUGUCAGAUGUCAUCACACUGGAUCGGGAUGGUGAUGGAGGCUUGGUGGUCCACACAACGAAGUAGCAGGUGUCCCUUCCAAUGAUGUGGAGCUGACCUUGGACCUGGUGCCAGUAAGGAUGGUCUUCACAGAGGCGACAACACCCCAUCCAACGACUGUGAUAUGAGGACCCUUUUUAGCAGCGACGGAGUAAAGCGCAUGGCCCAAACCACUGAUCCAUAAUUGCUGGCCAUCAACCUCCCUCUCCUCAUUAUGGUUCACUGUCCAACUGUUGCCUGCCAUAUAGCCUCCUGCUGCUUCCUCCACUCGCAUUCUACAUCCGUACGGCCGAUAUUGUGAACCUCCAAAAUAGGCUGCAUGACUACAUUGAUGAGCUCCACGGAGGCGUUCACAUGUGGUAGAGAGAAUCCCCUGGUCACCUAUAGAGACCUGCCGAGAGGAAGGAUGUUAAGUGUCACAUGACUUUCAUUGCAUGACUUUGAACACCUUGAAAUGCAUUUGUUGUAAGAAAUGCUCUAUAUAAAUAAAGUUGGAUUUGAUUGAUGACAUUA